GACGAACGCUGGCGGCGUGCCUAAUACAUGCAAGUAGAACGCUGAAGGAGGAGCUUGCUUCUCUGGAUGAGUUGCGAACGGGUGAGUAACGCGUAGGUAACCUGCCUGGUAGUGGGGGAUAACUAUUGGAAACGAUAGCUAAUACCGCAUAAUAGCAGUUGUUGCAUGAUAACUGUUUGAAAGGUGCAAUUGCACCGCUACCAGAUGGACCUGCGUUGUAUUAGCUAGUUGGUGGGGUAACGGCUCACCAAGGCGACGAUACAUAGCCGACCUGAGAGGGUGAUCGGCCACCCUGGGACGGAGACACGGCCCAGACUACUACGGGAGGCAGCAGUAGGGAAUCUUCGGCAAUGGACGGAAGUCUGACCGAGCAACGCCGCGUGAGUGAAGAAGGUUGUCGGAUCGUGAAGCUCGGUUGUAAGAGAAGAACGAGUGUGAGAGUGGAAAGUUCACACUGUGACGGUAUCUGACCAAAAAGGGACGGCUAACUACGUG
rnacentral:rRNA from 1 species